rnacentral:rRNA from 1 species
CACGGUAAACGAUGGAUGCCCGCUGUUUGCGAUAUACUGUGAGCGGCCAAGCGAAAGCGUUAAGCAUCCCACCUGGGGAGUACGCCGGCAACGGUGAAACUCAAAGGAAUUGACGGGGGCCCGCACAAGCGGAGGAACAUGUGGUUUAAUUCGAUGAUACGCGAGGAACCUUACCCGGGCUUGAACUGCAGGAGAACGAUCCAGAGAUGGUGAGGCCCUUCGGGGCUCCUGUGGAGGUGCUGCAUGGUUGUCGUCAGCUCGUGCCGUGAGGUGUCGGCUUAAGUGCCAUAACGAGCGCAACCCCUCUCCGUAGUUGCCAUCAGUUGAAGCUGGGCACUCUGCGGACACUGCCACCGUAAGGUGUGAGGAAGGUGGGGAUGACGUCAAAUCAGCACGGCCCUUACGUCCGGGGCUACACACGUGUUACAAUGGGUGGUACAGAGUGUCGGCCGCACGCAAGUUCGGUCCAAUCAUGAAAUCCAUCCUCAGUUCGGAUUGGGGUCUGCAACCCGACC